rnacentral:rRNA from 1 species
UACGUAGGCAGCGAGCGUUGUUCGGAGUUACUGGGCGUAAAGAGCGCGUAGGCGGUUUUCUAAGUUUGGUGUGAAAUCUCCCGGCUUAACUGGGAGGGUGCGCCGAAGACUGGAAGGCUUGAGUAUGGGAGAGGUAAGCGGAAUUCCUGGUGUAGCAGUGAAAUGCGUAGAUAUCAGGAGGAACACCUGCGGUGUAGACGGCUUACUGGACCAUAACUGACGCUGAGGCACGAAAGCGUGGGUAGCAAACAGG